AUCGGGCUCGAGUCGCUCUAAUUCCAGGUCCCCUUCCGGGGUCUAGUGGCUGUAGUCGGUGCGUGGAGGGUAGAACUCGUCUAAAGGGAAAAUAUCAGUAGAGGCUUCCACAGUACUUGCCUGGAACCGAACUGGAACCCGUGGUGGAGGUGGCAGUGAGGGAGGUGCUCAAGCUUUAUCUUCUCUGAACUCUGGUUCUCUAGUAGAGGAAACCUGAGGAGUACUGGCAGUUUUAAAAUCAUGGCCCAGGUA
rnacentral:lncRNA from 1 species